AAAUUGAAGAGUUUGAUCAUGGCUCAGAUUGAACGCUGGCGGCAGGCCUAACACAUGCAAGUCGAACGGUAACAGGAAGCAGCUUGCUGCUUCGCUGACAAGUGGCGGACGGGUGAGUAAUGUCUGGGAAACUGCCUGAUGGAGGGGGAUAACUACUGGAAACGGUGGCUAAUACCGCAUGACGUCGCAAGACCAAAGAGGGGGACCUUCGGGCCUCUUGCCAUCAGAUGUGCCCAGAUGGGAUUAGCUUGUUGGUGAGGUAACGGC
rnacentral:rRNA from 1 species